UACGUAGGGUGCAAGCGUUGUCCGGAAUUAUUGGGCGUAAAGGGCUCGUAGGCGGUCCAUCGCGUCGGGAGUGAAAAGCUGGGGCUUAACCCCAGUCCUGCUUCCGAUACGGGUGGACUAGAGGUAGGUAGGGGAGAACGGAAUUCCUGGUGUAGCGGUGAAAUGCGUAGAUAUCGUAAGGAAGACCAGUGGCGAAGGCGGGUCUCUGGACAGUUCCUGACGCUGAGGCACGAAGGUCGGGGGAGCAAACGGG
rnacentral:rRNA from 1 species